CAGCAGCCGCGGUAAUACGUAGGUGGCAAGCGUUGUCCGGAAUUAUUGGGCGUAAAGGGCUCGCAGGCGGUUUCUUAAGUCUGAUGUGAAAGCCCCCGGCUCAACCGGGGAGGGUCAUUGGAAACUGGGAAACUUGAGUGCAGAAGAGGAGAGUGGAAUUCCACGUGUAGCGGUGAAAUGCGUAGAGAUGUGGAGGAACACCAGUGGCGAAGGCGACUCUCUGGUCUGUAACUGACGCUGAGGAGCGAAAGCGUGGGGAGCGAACAGAAUUAGAUACCCCUGUAGUCCCUGUCUCUUAUAC
rnacentral:rRNA from 1 species